UCAAUUCUCUCAAAUCUCGUGGUUUCGAUCUUGAUUUCAAGCUUGCUGAUGACCCAAAACUCACCCUUCAACGUUAUGGCCAAUACUUAAUGAUGACUUAAUUCUCUUUUUUCCUUCAAUCGAAAGAUUUGGUGGUGCAUUGGAUUUAGCUCUAGCUACUGAAUGUGGGGUUGAUUUUGAUGAGGUUGGUGUAGAAUUUAUGAUGCAUUGAAUGUUUUUAUAAGAGUCUACCAUUGACGAUUUGGUUUGAAAAAAAAAGAAAGCAGGUCCAGGCUUGAAAGCUCGCUGGAAUGAGUUUAUAUAAAGCAGAGAAUAGAAUUAUUUUGUUUAUCGAGUUUACGUUAUAUUGUUGGAUCCAUUGCCUUGUUAUUGAUCAAUGAUCAUAAAAUUUAUUUUU